UGGGGAAUUUUGGACAAUGGGCGCAAGCCUGAUCCAGCUAUUCCGCGUGUGGGAAGACGGCCUUCGGGUUGUAAACCACUUUUGUAGAGAACGAAAAGUCUAUUGAUAAUAUCGAUAGAUGAUGACGGUACUCUAAGAAUAAGCACCGGCUAACUACGUGCCAGCAGCCGCGGUAAUACGUAGGGUGCGAGCGUUAAUCGGAAUUACUGGGCGUAAAGGGUGUGCAGGCGGUUUUGCAAGAUGGAUGUGAAAGCCCCGGGCUUAACCUGGGAAAGCCAUACAUGACUGCAAGACUAGAGUGCG
rnacentral:rRNA from 1 species